rnacentral:misc_RNA from 1 species
UUAAAUAUAGAGAUGAGUUUUUGGUUUGUUUUUAAAACUACACUUCCUGGUAAAGAUGACAAUUUCUAACCCAGUUUGCAAAUCCAAUUCCAAUUCAUUCAUAACUUGCAUAAAACUGAGAUGUCUUAAAAAUUUGAGGGCCAACCCACCUAAAAUAUGAGUAGGUGGAAAUAAUUUAUUUUGAAUUGAAAAAUUCAAAACAAGUGACCCAACCAGAUCUAUUUGCCACCUCUACUUCCUUGUGAACUGCUUUUUCAUAAGUCGUUGAUUGGUUGAGUCGACAAGCGCAAGUGUGUACUUUUUGGUUGCAUCAAGUGCUUGAACAGCUAUAUUAUUUGCACAUGCAGCUAUCUGGACCCUCCUGUCCUGAUUUGGAUAACAAGA